AGCGAACGCUGGCGGCAGGCCUAAUACAUGCAAGUCGAGCGCACCUUCGGGUGAGCGGCGGACGGGUGAGUAACGCGUGGGAAUGUGCCCUUUGGUACGGAACAACUGAGGGAAACUUCAGCUAAUACCGUAUGUGCCCUUCGGGGGAAAGAUUUAUCGCCAUUGGAGCAGCCCGCGUUGGAUUAGGUAGUUGGUGAGGUAAAGGCUCACCAAGCCGACGAUCCAUAGCUGGCUGAGAGGAUGAUCAGCCACACUGGGACUGAGACACGGCCCAGACUCCUACGGGAGGCAGCAGUAGGGAAUCUUGCGCAAU
rnacentral:rRNA from 1 species